rnacentral:rRNA from 1 species
UACGUAGGGGGCAAGCGUUAUCCGGAAUCAUUGGGCGUAAAGCGCGUGUAGGUGGACGGGUAAGUAUCUUGUGAAAUCCCACGGCUCAACCGUGGAACUGCUGGAUAUACUGCUUGUCUUGAGGCACUUAGGGGCAGCUGGAACAAAUGGUGGAGCGGUGAAAUGCGUAGAUAUCAUUUGGAACGCCAAAGGCGAAAGCAGGCUGCUGGGAGUGAUCUGACACUGAGACGCGAAAGCCAGGGGAGCAAAGCGGG